UAAGGUGUGGAGCAGAAUGGACUCACAGGAAACUAUCCUUGUAUCAUGGGGGGGGGGGGUUGACUAUCAGGAUGUGAGUGUACAGACUAUGGGAGGCAGUGCUGGGAUGGCCACUGUAUCACAUGAUGAAAAGACAAAA